rnacentral:rRNA from 1 species
GCCUAAAGCGUCCGUAGCCGGCUCUGUAAGUUUUCGGUUAAAUCCAUAUGCUCAACAUAUGGGCUGCCGGGAAUACUGCAUAGCUAGGGAGUGGGAGAGGUAGACGGUACUCCGUAGGAAGGGGUAAAAUCCUUUGAUCUAUGGAUGACCACCUGUGGCGAAGGCGGUCUACCAGAACACGUUCGACGGUGAGGGAUGAAAGCUGGGGGAGCAAACCGGAUUAGAUACCCGGGUAGUCCCAGCUGUAAACUAUGCAAACUCAGUGAUGCAUUGGCUUGUGGCCAGUGCAGUGCCGCAGAGAAGUCGUUAAGUUUGCCGCCUGGGAAGUACGUACGCAAGUAUGAAACUUAAAGGAAUUGGCGGGGGAGCACCACAAGGGGUGAAGCCUGCGGUUCAAUUGGAGUCAACGCCAGAAAUCUUACCCGGAGAGACAGCAGGAUGAAGGUCAAGUUGAAGCCUUUACCAGACAAGCUGAGAAGUGGUGCAUGGCCGUCGCCAGCUCGUGCCGUGAGGUGUCCUGUUAAGUCAGGUAACGAGCGAGAUCCUUGCCUCUAGUUGCCACCAUUACUCUCAGGAGUAGUGGGGUGAAUUAGCGGGACUGCCGUAGUUAAUACGGAGGAAGGAGAGGGCCACGGCAGGUCAGUAUGCCCCGAA